CUGUUAUAUUUUUAUUUACAAUCUGUACAGUUUGAGGUAAAUUACAAUCACAUUACAAAUGUUAUAUAAAAUGUAAAACUAUAAGUUCUUGUAAACUGGCCAUCAACAAACAUUACCUUUUUGAUUUUAAAAUACUCUGGAUUUAUAAAUAUUGUGGGAUACAAAUUUUCGUUGAAUUUGUGGGUACAAUUGAAUCUAAAUUUAACUAAGUACGCAUUUUCUAAAGCUUGAAUGAAAAGUUUCGCAAAAACAAAAUCUAAUAUCAAAAGAAACAAUACAUGCUUUCUUCAAUCCACGGAAAUAGAGUUACACAUAAACUAAAAUAAAAUAAAAUAGGUUAAAGUGGAGAGAUAAUGACUGUCAUUAGUAUUAAAUGAGUCGAUAAUGAAUGUUUUGUUACACCAUGAAAACUAGUAGUCUCUAGAUCUAUGAAAGUCUUUUUCUUAAAAAGAUAUACAACAAGCAGUCAUUGUUUUCACUCCCAAUUUUUCAUUCAAAUAUUCAACUGUAAAUAUGGAUGACUUACUUAUUUCGGUAUACUUCUUUAAAAAGAAAUAUAACCUUAUCAACAGGUGCUAAUUAGUAGUUGCAGAUUUUUAAGUUGCAGAUAGGUGGUAGGAUUGCACAAGAAAUUACUUUGGUCUAUCAUACACCAAAGUGACCAAUUUAAGCAUUGCAUUUAAACUUCAAUCUCAUCAGCAAUAAAGGUCGUUUCGCUUCAACAAAUAUCCUAUCCAUCUUUUUUGUUUUUAUGUGCAUCUUUGAACAUGGCAUACUUCUUAUAUUGUUAAUUUCACCCUCUAAAGUGUAAUGCUGUUAUCUAUGUCUUAUCACAUGUCUAGCUGUACUAAAAAAUAGGGGAGAAUGUUACAGAUAGGUGCAACACAAGACAUUGUAUGUACAUGUAGCAAACAAAAUCCUGUAAUUUUAUUUUGUUUACUGAGUGUUUCUUCAGUCCAAAACUAUCACACUUACAUGAAAUUUUAUACAAAAAACAGAACUCUUACAUAAAUAUAACAAAAAUGUAAAAUCAUUUUACUUAAGGAUCAUGUGGACCCUUUGGCUAAAAUGGCUGCAUUUUCACCUCAAAAUUUACUGAGUACAGACAAACCUGGGCAUCUGGAAAAGUUUUAAGGUAUAGCACACCCUAGAUAAUUGAAUUCAAAUGCAUUGUAUGAUUUAGAAAAUUCAUAACUUAACUGGAUUUUGCAGUCACUUUUGUUCGUCCUUGCAGAAGAUAACAUCAACAAACAAACAUUUUAGCCAAAGGGUCCACAUGAACCUUAAAAGUGAUUUCAAACUUAUCACAGCUCUAAUAAUAAAAAAAUAUUUACAACAAACACAGCACUAUUAUAAACAACAUUUGCAUAUCACUGCAUGGAUAAGCUUUCUAAACUCUUUUUUUUUAAAUUAUCAUUUGUGAAUUGGUCCUAAGUAUUUUACUUAUUUUCUUCACUUUUAAAAGCUGGGCCUACUUUCUUAUCUCUCUUAUGAAUUUCAAUGAAUGCAUUUUAAUAUCCAUAUUCUUGAAAAUUUACAAUAACAUGGCUUUAAUAUGAAGACUAUAAGCAUAAACUACAACUAAAUAUAUUUCAGAACAUCAUUGUAAAAUUGAUAAUGGAAUGACCUAAGUUUUAAGACUAAAACACAACUUUAGACCAACAAUAUCAUCAAUUUUAUCCUAAUUCUCACUUAGU
rnacentral:lncRNA from 1 species